rfam:Myotis davidii contig33291, whole genome shotgun sequence.
GGUGGUUCUCAGGUGACACACCCUAGAAUCAGGCUCCCUCCUCUCUGGUUCCAGGGUGCGUCACCCGAGAACUACC